ACCCCCAGCCUCAGGCCUAUCAAGGCCGCCUGAGACAGGCCCUGGCCUACUGAUCUGCUCAUCUCAUUCUUCCCGGUUCAGAGAUGCAUGGCUCCUCCUCAUACCUAGGCCUUGUCCAGAUAGCUAGAGGCCAAGAAGCAGCAGAGAAGUCCCAAAUGUGCCCUUCUCUCCUGUAUUCUUUGGCUAAGAACCUUAUUUUUCACUCUAUGGCAAUGCUUUUUUCCUGCAUUCUCUGCCAUCCUAUAUCCCUGGGCACCUGGUCUCCUAAUGGAGAAGGAAGAAUUGGCAGACAUAAAUUAUCUGUUUCCCUCAAAAGAAAAAACAAAAAACCUGAAGAACUCUAAAGUUAAUAAGAACUGGAGGAGGCAGGGAUCUUAUCUUGGCUCAGGUAAGUCAUGUCAAAUAGCACUAAGUGCCUUCUAUAUGCUAGACACUGUGCUAAGUGCCACAAGAAAGCAGGCAGGAAGGAAAAUCAGAGAUUUAAGAGUUUUUUUUUUAACCCUUACCUUCUGUCUUAGAAUCAAUACUAUGUAUUGGUAUUCUAUCUUAGAAUCAAUACUGUGUAUUGGCUCUAAGGCAGAAGAGGAAGAAAGGCUAGACAAUGGGGGUUAAGUGACUUGCCCAGGGUCCCACAGCUAGGAAGUGUCUGAGGCUAGAUUUGAACCUUGGACCUCCUGUUUCUGGGUCUGGAUCUCAAUCCACUGAGCCACCCAGCUGCCCCUAAGAGUUUUCUUUAGCUGGAAAAAGUGGACUUUAUAUGCAGUUUUGAAACUGGUUAAGAACAGACUUCUUAAAGAAACCAAAACAAAAAUGUCAGCCAGGUUGAGUGAAGCCAGUGAAAAUUGUCUGGUUCUAAGACCUAGCCGAGAUGGUCCCUGUGACUGACUUCUUAAGUUGGCAUCUCCAAAGGACCAUGCAGCCAGUAGAAUAAGGACCCAACAGAGGAACAUGAAUUUGCUGGGACAGCAGAUUCCUCAUAAGGAAGAAUCCCCUAAAGUACAGAUUCCUGGGGGGCAGAUUUGUUUCAGUUUUGACUUUUGUGUCCUUGGUACCAUGAACAUAUUAUAGCACUUAAUGUUCAUUUAAUAAUUAAAUGAACCAUGGCUUGAUUUAAUGGUGGGAUGAGCCAGGCCCCCAGAAAGCUAGGGCCUGGAGACUCCUCAGAGACUGCCCCUCAGUCAGGAAUAGGACAGAUAAUCAGGAAAAGCCCCAGAAGCAAUCCAGAAGCAGAUGUGUGCAGAGAUGGAUAGUUGGCAACAAGUCAAUGGCCGUCAUUGGGUUUAGAAUCUACCAAAAGAGAAUAUAGGUCACAGGUUCAAUUGCAGAGAGCAGAGGCCUAGCCAGGCUUUUACAGCCCUUUACAACGCGGCCCCAACCCACCUUUGCAGCCUCAUUAUACGUUACUUUCUGAACAACCCCCUAUUUGAACUGACCUUCUUGCUCUUUGUUGCUCACCUCAAACAUUCCAUCUUUCAUUUCUAGACCUUUGUACUUCCCCUCAUGCCCCGCAUGCACUCCCUCCUCACCUCUGCUUUAUAGAAUCCCUCAUCACUUUCAAGACUCAACUCAGGGGUCAUAUAGGUGACUCAGUGCGUAGAGAGCCAGGCCUGGAGUCAGGAGGUCCUGGGUUCAAAUUUGGUCUGAGAGGGGUGGGUGUAUCACUGUGAGGAAACCAAGACAGGGACUGGAGGGAGGAAACUGGAAGGAGCCCAAGAUAGAGACCUUGCAUACAGGUGUGCAAGGCAGGAACUUGGUUAAGAUAUGGACAAGGCAGCAGCCAGGAAAAUUUAGUUCUCUGGUAUUAGACCGCUGGUAUCAAAAUUCUUCAAUUUCCCUUGACCAGCAAUAGUAAGACCUUGUGUUGAGCACUUUCAUGGUCAUCUUUUUCUUCAUUUGAUCCUCCCACUAACCUUUUUGCAAAGGAAACCAAUUAUAUUGAGAUGAAGAAAUUAUUUUUUUAACCUGUGGACCCACCUUAAAGACCUUGAUCUAAAUAAAAGAUUAUUGUUCAUCCUUUUCCAAGAGAACCCGUUACCUCACGGGGUGAUGUCUUGAUUUGUGUGUAAAUUAGAUUUAAAUGAGGCAGAUUGCACAGUUUUCAGCCUUACUCCCUCUCCCAGAGCACUGAAGUCCAGUGACAAGACGACAGACAGAAAGGCCCCUUGUAAGCAUGUUGCCCCAACAGUACCUGGCUCCACUGAGGCCCCAGAAAUGCCGCCAGAGCUGACUGUCAUGUUGUUGAUGGGUGGAAUCACCCUGUAAUUCCUUUCAAUAAACAUUAAGCAUCUACUCUGGUAGUACAAGGUGCUGCAGACACAAAUAGGAAAAAUGAUAUGUUCCUUGCCCUCAAGAAGCUUACAGUCUAAUUGGGGGUGGACAUGAGACUUACAUAUUAAUAACCAUAAUACAAGUUGGAAAAUGAUUAAGUGAGCAAGAUUAGUCAAACUGGAUAGACUGGAUAAUUCAAGGAGGGAAGAAUAACUUCUAUCUGGAGUUUUGAAUAGAGAAAAUGGCACUAAAUUCGGACCCUAAAGGAAGGGAACGUUCUCAGUAGGAAGAAUUUAGAGGAAUCCAUUCUAGGCAGGAGAGGGCAGGAUAAGAUCACAGAACAGCGAAUAAUCCAGUUUGACCAGAACAUAAAAUACACAAAAAGAGGCCCUAAGAUGUGGCUAUAAAAGGGAGCUGGAACCAGAUGGCCAAGGGCUUUAAAUGUCAGGCUUAUGAGUUUGUAUUUUAUUAAGUGGCCAAAUGGGGACUCCCUGCAUGUUUUUUAAGCACAGCAGUGAUGUAAUGAGCAUUAGGAAGAUGACUUUAGAAGCAGGGUAGUACAGAGGUAUGAAACAUGGCAUCUGACCAUGCUUUGAACUAGCAACACUCCCCAGCAAGGCCUGAAACAGAUUAAAAUGGAAUUGGGAAAUAGUUCACAAAAUAAAAAUACAUUAGAAUAUAGAUAAUGUUAAUAUGUGGUUUUCUAAGUCAAUAUGGGCCACAUGUCACUCUUUUCUAUUUGAGUUUUUAUUUUAAUUUAAAAAAACCCUUUCCUUUGUCUUAAAAUCAGUACUAAGUAUUGGUUCCAAAGCAGAAGAAUAGUAAGAGCUAGGCAAUUGAGGUUAAGUGACUUGCCCAGGUUCUCAUAGCUAGGAGGCAUCUGAAAUCAGAUUUGAACCCAGGACCUCCUGUCUCCAGGUCUGGCUCUCUAUCCACUGAGCUACCUAGUUGCCCUUCUAUUUGUGCUUAAUUCCACUAGUGUGGAAGAUAGGGAAGAGAUGGGAAAGACAAGAGACCAGCAACCAGUUCAAAACCCAUCAUAAUAAUAGUCCAAGGGAGAUUUGAUGAGGAACUGAAUUUAGGGGUGGCAGCAACAUCAACAGAAAGGAACAGUUAGACAGGAGAGACAUUUCAGAGGAACACAACAAGACUUUUUGUUGGAAUUUAAUGGAAUCAAGAGGAACAAGGAACAAGGAAGGAAUCAAAGUUAGCUGCAUUUCCAAACUCAUGUGACAUGGGGGAUUUCAACAGAAAUAGGGAAGUUUAGAGAAAGGGAAAAUUUGGGAGGAAAGUUGAUGAGUCUAGUUUUAACCAUACUGAGUUUGGGGUAUCAGCAUGACACUCAAGAGGAAAUAGGCAAUAGGAAGUUCUUGGGGUUUUUGCUUUUAUUUUUUAAAAAAAGACACCUUACCUCCUGUCUUGGAAUACUGUGUAUUGGUUGGAAGAGUGGUAAGGGCUAGGCAAUGGGGGUUAAGUCACUUGCCCAGGGUCACACAGCUGGGAAGUGUCUGAGGUCAGAUUUGAACCUAAGACCUUCUGUCUCUAGGCCUGGAGCUCUAUCCACUGAGCCAUCCACCUGCCCCUGGUUUUUUGUUUUUAAACCCUUACCUUCUGUCUUAGAAUUGAUACUAAAUAUUGGGUUCUAAGGCAGAAGAACAGUAAGGGCUAGGGAAUUGGGGUUCAGUGACUUGCCCAAGUUAUACAGCUAGGAAGUGUCUGAGGCCAGCUUUAAACCCAGGACCUCUCUUCUCUGAGCCUGGCUCUCUCUCCACUUAGUCACCUAGCUUGCCUCUGGCAGUGAGAAGUUUAAAGUACUAGAGUAAAAGUACAUUUGAGGCAGAGAUGGUAACUCAGGUUGUGACAGUAGCUAAGAUUAUCAGAAGAGAAGAUGUAACAGAAAGAGAGGGAUGAAGACCAGAGUCUUUCAGGGAUAGGAAGAAGAAGGACCAGCUAAGGAAGUCAAGGGAGCAGUCAGAGAGGAAGUCAAGAGAACAGUGUGAUAGAAACCAAUAGAUGAGGGAAUAUAGGAAGGGAAAGCUUCUUCUAAAUUUUCAAAACAGCAUUCAUUAUGUGUAAUUAUAAAAAAAAAAACAGAAGCAGCCUAAAAGUCCAAAAACAGGGGAAAUGGUUAGAGAAAUUGUGGCACAUGCAUAUAAGGGAAUACUAUAAGGCAACUAAGGUAGAUAAGUAUAAGAAAUACAAAGAGAUACAGAAAGACAUUUAUAAAAUAAUGCAAAGAAAAAAAACAGAAAAAUAGAGCACACAAUAACAAAAAGCAUACAAAUAUGAUCCAUUAAAGCUCAGGACCUGAGGUUACUGACGACUUAUUAGGGAGGUACAAGUUAGCCCUUGAAUGGAUCAUAAAGGAAACAGUGCGGUUGGAUGAUGAGGUCAUGAUUCAGGGUAACCAGAGAAAUCAGUUCACUGAGUUGAGGAGGCAGAGGAGCUCAACUCUCAAUGGAUAAACAAAAGAAGCAUGAUGCUGGAGAAACGGAAGCCUGUUUCUCCACAGAAAGUCACAUCACACAGAUCACAGCCACCUCAAUAAAAGGAGCCAGGACUGGGGUAGAGGGUGAGACUGGCUGGGGCUGAUUGAGCAUGAGUACCAGUUGUUUAUAUUGAUUUGAGAGUUAGACUAUAAAGAAACCUGAGUGCCACAGAAUGGAUGCUUUUGAAUUGUGGCUCUGGAGAAGACUUUUGCGUCUCCUGGACAGCAAGCAGAUCAAAUCAGUCAAUACUUAAAUUAAUUAAUUCAGAGGUCAGAUACUGAAGCUUUAAUACUUUGACCACAUAAUAAGAAGGUAGGACUCACUGGAAAAGAACCUGAUGUUGGAAAAAACUGAAGGCAAAAGGAAAAGAAGAUGGCAGAGGAUGAGAUGGAUAGAGAGUGUCAUGGAAGCAACAAACAUAACUUGGACAGACUUCUAGAGACAGUGGAGGAUAGAGGGACCUGGAGUACUAUGGCCCAUGGGGUCUAGAAAAGCUGGACAUGAAUGAAUGACUGAACAACAAGAGAAUGGUGAUCUGAAAGAGAAGAAAUUGAAUCUAAGAGAGUGAUAGGAAUUAGGUCAUGGAAGAGUUAGCAGGGAAGGCUAUCAAAGUUAUAAGUGGAGCAUUUGGAUUGGUGAGGUGGAGGUGAUAUUAGAGGGAAGGAAAAGAGGGUGAGAAAAGACAGAGGUUUUGAUUAUGAAGCAAUGGAGUUGUGGGAACUUAAAUAAUAUAGCCUUCAUCUCAAAAGGGAGGGUUAAGCUUAGCAUAAAGUUUAGGGUUUUAGUAGGAAAAAGAGUGAAUAGCCACUAUGAGGAAUUUGUAGAAAAUUUGGAGAAUUUGUGGAAGUGAAUAAAAAAGAUUGCCAUUCAGCAGUGAGAACCCCCUGGAGAUCAGAUAAUAUGAAUUUGGAAUAAUUCCAAUAAGCAGAGACUUUUUCCUGCUCAGGAAAAGGUAUAAAAAGAAUAUUGGGAUAAAUAAUAUAUAGGAUUGGAAAUCAGCAGAGCAGGAGUAGGAAAAGGGGCAAGGGAGCAAGGACAAGGGUAGAAUCAACUAUGCUAUUGAAACGGAUGUCCAUAGAGAUUAACUAUGAAAAAUGGGAAGUAAAUCCAGAACACAGAAAUCAUGAAGUGUAGAGCAAGGACCCUGGGCAAGCUACUUAACCUCCAUUGCCUAGCCCUCACUGCCUUGGAACCAAUAUGUAGCAUUGAUUCUAAGAUGAAAGGUAAGGGUUUAAAAAAAAAGCGAAAAACAGGAAUAAGGAUAAACAAGAGUUUGAUGGAGAGAAGCAUUUUUGAGAAGAGAAUCUAAGAACAACCUUGUGAAGCAAACAGCCAUAAAAGAAAGACCAACCAGGAUUGUGGAGGGUAUUGAGAGCUGCGAUAAGCUCAGGGGAAACUUUGAUAUCAGUUAGUGUGAAUAGGAGAAAGAUGUAGAAUGUAUUGACAGCGGAAUAGGUAUUCCAGAAGGCAUAAUGGAAAAGAUUGAAAGAGAGAAAUAGGCAUUGGGAAAGUGUAGGACAAAGGCAGAAUAGAUAUUAAGGAAGUACUAUCGGGGGAAAUACAGGUAUACUUCAUUUUGUGAUGCUUACUGUAUUGCAUUUCAUAGAUAAGGCUUUUUUUUACAAAUUGAAGGUUUGUGGCAACCCUAUAUCAAGCAAGUCUACUGUCGCCAUUUUUCUAAUAGCAUGUGCUCAUGCUAUGACUGGCACAUUUUGGUGAUUCUCAAAUUAUUUCAAAUUUUUCAUUAUUAUAUGUUAGGAUGAUCUAUGAUGUGUGAUCUUUGAUGUUACUAUUAUAAUUGUUUUAGGGCCCCACAAAUUACAUCCACAUAUGAUGAUUAAUUUAAUCUAUAAAUGUUGUAUGUGUUCUGACUACUCCACCAACAGACUAUUUCCUCUCUCCCUCUCUGUCUGUCUGUCUGUCUGUCUCUGUCUUUGUCUCUGUCUCUGUCUGUCUGUCUCUGUCUCUGUCUCUGUCUUUCUCUUUUCCUUCCCCACCUCACUUGGGCCUCUUGUUCCCCUGAGACACAACAAUAUUGAAAUUAGGCCAAUUAAGAACACUACAAUGACCUACAAGUGUACAAGUGAAAGUAAGAGUCAAUAAGGCAGACUUCAUUGUUGUCUUAUUUUAAGAAGUUGCCACAGGCACCCCGGCCUUCUGCAGCCAUCAUCCUGAUCAGUCAGCAGCCAUUAACACAGAAGCAAAAAGAUCAUGUCUCAGUGAAGGUUCAGAUGAUGGUAGCACUUUUUAGCAAUAAAGAAUUUUAAAUUAAGGUAUGUCCUUUUUUAGGCAUAAUACUAUAUCGCACACUUAACAGACUACAGUAGACUGUAAACAUAACUUUAAUAUGCACUGAGAAACCAAAACAUUCAUGUGCCUCACUUAAUUGCAAUAUUUACUUUAUUGCAGUGGUCUGGAACACAACACACGAUAUCUCGGAGGUAUGCUUGUAGUUUGUACCCAGAAAAGUAGUGGUUUCAUAUGACAUAAAUUAGAAGAACAGGUUACACUAGAUGGAUGCCUUAGCCAUAGGGAGAGGACCCACAAGGCAAAAGUUAACAGAGCAAACAAGGCCCAGACUUCUCUAAGGUUUCAGUCCCAGUUCUGCACAGGGUUCUGCAUCCAUGGUUUUGCACCAGGCAUGUACUGUACUAGUCCCCAACCUUUCUGAAUUGCCUCCUUUAGGUGGUGGUAUUAGUAGUUUCAACUGGGAUAAGACCAGUGAUGUUGGGGUGGGAGAGGUGGAAAGGCGAGAAACACACAGCUCAUCCCAGACUUAACUGCAUGGUGUCUCCAAGGUAGAAUCUCCUCUUACGAGUCAAAAGGCGUUUGCAGAAACUCUGGGAGAUGGAGGUUGGGUCCUAGGGCCUGACUCCUCUCUGUGAGUUGUGUCUGAUGAAUUGUGAUAGUUGAUAAAACCUCAAAUAAGUCUUGGGAAUCCAAAUGGAGGCUAGACUAAGACAUUCUCAAAGCUGAGGAGGACAGAAAUCCAUGGGUCUGGUUUCUCCCCAGUAUAAAUGUCAGGGGUGUGGAUUUUUCCUGGAGCUCUCAUCUUCUCCAGGACUGAAGAUUGAGUGUUCAUGAACACAAAUGGCUCAGUGUCCUACCUCAUCGCUGUCAGCAGGGUUCUGAGAAUCCCUGAGUUCCUCUCUUCAAAAGAAGUGAAGGGACUAGUCUAAGGUCACUAAGCUCCAGGAAUAAUGCUAUGAUCCCAACCUUCUAACCUCCAGCUCCAGAUUCUUGCUAAGAAGCCUAGGCCAUUCUGUACUGGCCAUAACUAUGGCUUGGCUCUUGGAAUGUCUUCUGAAAUCUUUGUUAUUAAGAUAUAAACUCUACAGUCCCAGGCACUUGAGGAUUUGUCUCUCUGCCGAUAAAAGCCCCAUAAAAGGCAAAGAUUGUAACAGAGUUCGUAGAAAUCCUUGAAUCAGAAUUGUCUAGCCUUAUUUUGGGAUUUUGAAAUAACCUUCCUUAGUACAGCCUCAUGGCAUUAAAGGGCUUCACAGGAUUACUGUCUGUGAGUUAAAGUCAGGCUGUUGAGAGGAAAAUUCCUUUUGCUUGUUAAGAGGUAAAAUUACCUCUUCCCUACUUCAAAUUCUGAGGAGCUCUGACCACUAGCUCUCCCUCUGCCCAGGUGGUUCUCCAGUCCAGGGGCUCGAGCUUGCUCUACACUAAAUCUAACUCAUAGGCUGUCUAUGAUUUCUCCAUCCUUGUAGCGAACUCCUGAGGGCCAGGUUGUUUUUAAACUCUUCCAUCUUAGAGUCAAUACUGUGUAUUGGUUCCAAGGCAGAAGGGCAGUAAGGGCUAGGCAAUGAGGGUCAAGUGACUUGCCCAGGGUCACACAGCUAGGAAGUGAACCCAGGGUGUCCCAUCUCUAGGCCUGACUAGCCAUCCAGUUGCCCUAGGGUCAGGCCUUUGAUCUCAUCUUCAGGUCUGAAUAAGAGAGAUGGUCAUAGCUACACAUUGUCCACCCCUAUACAAACAAUUGUUUCCCUAGCAGUGGCCAGGAGCUGUCCAUAGCUGAAGCUCAUUCAGAAGAACAGGCCAGGUUCAGCCCUAGUCAACAGAGUUCAAAAGGACAACACUAGCGUCACACUAAGCAAAUUGGAAUUGGAUACAGAUCUCUUUAUAUAAGCUCAAACCUGUCUGGGUCUCUGGUUUCCAGAGCUCCUGCCAAAGUCUUGUUUUUGACCCCCAGAUCCUGACACCAUCCCAUUGUUACAUGUGCCUUCAGAGGGUGGGCAUUCCUGCCUGCCUGGCUCUCACUCCUGCUUGCUUGUUAGUUGCUCAGAUAAUGAGCCUUCUGGCCUGAAUGACCCACCUUUGGUUUCCAGUCUUUCUCUAACCGGGCCUAUAGCUCCAUCCAGACCAGGAAAAUAAAUAAGAUGAAAUGGGACAAGUUUCUAGAAGAGAUCAUCUAGAAGAGAAGGGCAUAAGUAGGCGAGAGAUGGGCAAGGAGAAAGGCCACCUCUUCCUCAGAGACAGGAGAGUAAAAAGGUAAUGAAUUUUGUGGUAUAGACUAAGUGAAAUGAGAAAGCUCGCAAUGAAUGGUCUUGAUUUUUUCAGUAAAGUCCGAUAGGAAGAAAUUUGUUGGAGAGGUGAAGUCGGCAGAAGAGCCACUGGGAGAGAGAGAACGACCCACUUAGGGGAGUGGAAUGGAGAGACAGUCAUGGAAAAAUAAAAGGAGCCCUUAGCCACAGCCCGGUCCCAGUUGAGAUUGGAGAACAUGAAUUCCUAUGGAUGUGUUUAGCAUGACAAUGUGUGUCUUUCUCCAGGAAGCAUUCACCCAUGUUAGGAAAUAGCCCAAGCCAGAGUCCAGAGAGAGCUGAUGAACCUUAAGACAGGCAGAGGGUGGGAGCCCUCCGAGAAGAAAGGAAUGGCCUAGUUGUACAUAUGAUUCCUUUCAUUUGGACUGUUGCCUCACCAUGUGUGCUAGGUGUUGAGAGAAAGAAGAGAUCAUGGUGUUCAGGGAUGACUUCCUGGAGGAGGCACUAAGGAACCAAAGACAAAAGUGAAAGCCACUACUCCGUUCUAGCAGGGAAAAGAGCCUGUGCACAUAUAAGUCAAUGUAAAGUAAAAAAAAGAAAAGAAGAGAAAAGAAAAGGAGGGAAUGAUAGCAGUAAAGACCAGUAUCACAGAAGGAGCACCAAACUGGAAGUGAGGAAAUCUAGGUUCUAGUUCAGCCUGGUCCUGCCAUUAACCAGCUCCUCCAGCACUGGCCAGUAAUGCCACCUUGAGUGAACCCCUACAAGCCUCGGUUGCCUCGCCUUCACGAUCUCAAGGGUCUCUGGCAGUCCUGAGAGUCUACAUACUCAGUCACCGAGGCAAGAAGGGGCAGAGCAUGGUGGGGGAGAUUUUGUGUGAGUUGGGAAAGGAAUGAAGUAAAGAUUGGCCAGAGCGUAGACAGCCUAGAAAGUCGGACUGAAAGGAGAUAGCUAGAUGGCUCGGUGGAUUGAAAGCCAGACCUAGAGACAGAAAGGAGCUCCAGGAUUCAUUUUUGGCCUCAGACGACAAGCCUAAUUGCUUAGCCCUUACCACUCCUGCCUUAGAAUACUUAGUACUGAUAGGAGUGUAAAAGCAAAGAAUAAAAGGAAGGAAGUUGGGCGGGAAAGGGGCUGUGCCCCACUCUGCAGAGGCUGCAUCUCUUGGUUGAGAUAGGACACAGCACCUCGUCCCUCGUCCCCCAUCCUCUGCACUCAUCCCUUCAUGCUUCACCGGCCACCGGUGUCGGGGGUGACGGCAGAGCUCUUGGUCCCUCUGAUGCGAGCCCAGAGUGAUCUGUCUCUCAUUUCCC